GAAAGCACACUAUGAGCUCUCUCUGAGCCCCUACUCUCUCCUCCUUGAGAUAAUGCAAGUCCUCCUACAUAAGACCAGGACAGCAUGAGAUCCCAACAUCAGUCUGUAAACUUCAUAAUACUUGAGAGAUGCAGCUUUCAGAAGUGAAAUUACCAAACACAGCUGCCUGCCUGAAGUUUAACAAUUACCCUUGCUAGCAAGUAAAACAAAAUCUUCUGGCUUACCACAAGUUCAGCAGUGGGACUAACUUCAGUCAGCUGUCUGAAUGAUCUUCCAGUCUGGUGCAACUUUCAAUCUAAGAACCCACAAUUGCUCUGUUCGCAUAUGUCA